AUUAGACAGCUCUCAUGGCCUGAAAGAACUGUUAGUGUAACACAGAGGCAGAGAAAUGAAUUUUUGAGUUUCUAAAGCCCUGAAGGGUUGACCCUGUAAACAACAUCUCUGGAACAAUAAUGAUGGCACAACGCAGAGAGAUCAACUGAUUGAAAUGACCCUCAACAGAUUGAAAUGAAUUCUCUGCCUCUUGGAAGAGUGAGUGCUUGAAAGAACAAUUAAGCUGAUGUGUACAAAGGAGGAUUUUUGAGUGGUAAAUUGCAACUUUGCUCUCAAAAGAUGCAUUGAAGACCUGAACCCUUUGAAGCUCAGACAAAAGAGAAACAGCAAACAGUAAUUUACAAACAUAAUAAUUCAGCUUCUCUGUACCUGGAUGAAUAGGAAGUGUUCCAAUAUGCCCCUCACUCCUUUCUUCCAUUUGUUACAUAGAGUUUGUCAUUCUCCCCUCUCUUUCUAAUGUCUUUUUACACCCUGCCCUAUUAGAUGGAUUGCCAAAGAACAGAAGAAGUCAUUUCAGCGUUGUUGUUUUAAAACUUCUCUUCCAGUGCAAGAAAACCCCACUAGGGAAGUGCAUCUAUAAAUGGUGCACACACUCUCACCCACAGCAGCAAGAGGUUGCCUCAUUCCCAAGGCAUGUUUUGCAGUCAGCCCCUAGAACAGGAUUCCAGGAGCUGAUCAGCUCCUGCUAUCUUAGCACCUGUUUCUUGAUGGUUUCUGCUUUGGUGACAUCACAUGUUUGAUUGCUGCCCUGUAGAGAUACGACGAGUAUAAUUCUGUGCUGGAAGGCUUCAGUUUGGAAAGCGUUGGUCCUGUGUGGGAGAGAUGGAACUGGAACAGAAGCAUCAAGGUGCUGGGAUGUUACCAAAGCCUGUUGUCUUGCAUUGAUCAUUUAUGUGGCAGGGCAGAUGGAUGAUCUGUUUUCAGAAGAUGUGUCACUCCAUGCUGGGUUUACUCAAUGAAAUCUUGUAUAGCCCCAGCACAUGAAUUAAGAUAUUUUCUGUAGAUGAUUCAUUUAUGCAUAUAUACACCCACGCACACAGUCAGAAAUAUUUAUUGAAUACCUGUG